UCUCAAACUUUAAAUGGGUAAGAACUCGGGGUUGCUUAAUUGAACCCUGCGGUCGAAUGACGGUCGCUAGUGGGCC
rnacentral:rRNA from 11 species